GGAGGAUGCAAGCGUUAUCCGGAUUUAUUAGGUUUAAAGGGUGCGUAGGCGGGACUUUAAGUCAGUGGUGAAAGGCAGUAGCUUAACUAUUGUAAGCCAUUGAUACUGGGGUUCUUGAGUUAGGUAGAGGUAGGCGGAAUGUGUUGUGUAGCGGUGAAAUGCUUAGAUAUAACACAGAACACCGAUUGCGAAGGCAGCUUACUAUGCCUAUACUGACGCUGAUGCACGAAAGCGUGGGGAUCAAACAGGAUUAGAUACCCUGGUAGUCCACGCUGUAAACGAUGAUCACUCGUUGUUGGCGAUAUACAGUCAGCGGCUAAGCGAAAGCGAUAAGUGAUCCACCUGGGGAGUACGUCGGCAACGAUG
rnacentral:rRNA from 1 species